rnacentral:rRNA from 1 species
CUGCGUACCUUUUGUAUAAUGGGUCAGCGACUUAUAUUCUGUAGCAAGGUUAACCGAAUAGGGGAGCCGAAGGGAAACCGAGUCUUAACUGGGCGUUAAGUUGCAGGGUAUAGACCCGAAACCCGGUGAUCUAGCCAUGGGCAGGUUGAAGGUUGGGUAACACUAACUGGAGGACCGAACCGACUAAUGUUGAAAAAUUAGCGGAUGACUUGUGGCUGGGGGUGAAAGGCCAAUCAAACCGGGAGAUAGCUGGUUCUCCCCGAAAGCUAUUUAGGUAGCGCCUCGUGAAUUCAUCUCCGGGGGUAGAGCACUGUUUCGGCAAGGGGGUCAUCCCGACUUACCAACCCGAUGCAAACUGCGAAUACCGGAGAAUGUUAUCACGGGAGACACACGGCGGGUGCUAACGUCCGUCGUGAAGAGGGAAACAACCCAGACCGCCAGCUAAGGUCCCAAAGUCAUGGUUAAGUGGGAAACGAUGUGGGAAGGCCCAGACAGCCAGGAUGUUGGCUUAGAAGCAGCCAUCAUUUAAAGAAAGCGUAAUAGCUCACUGGUCGAGUCGGCCUGCGCGGAAGAUGUAACGGGGCUAAACCAUGCACCGAAGCUGCGGCAGCGACACUAUGUGUUGUUGGGUAGGGGAGCGUUCUGUAAGCCUGU